rnacentral:rRNA from 1 species
GACGAACGCUGGCGGCGUGCUUAACACAUGCAAGUCGAACGGAAAGGCCCUGCUUUUGUGGGGUGCUCGAGUGGCGAAGGGGGGAGUAACACGUGAGUAACCUGCCCUUGACUUUGGGAUAACUUCAGGAAACUGGGGCUAAUACCGGAUAGGAGCUCCUGCUGCAUGGUGGGGGUUGGAAAGUUUCGGCGGGUGGGGAUGGACUCGCGGCUUAUCAGCUUGUUGGUGGGGUAGUGGCUUACCAAGGCUUUGACGGGUAGCCGGCCUGGGAGGGUGACCGGCCUCAUUGGGACUGCGAUACGGCCCAGACUCCUACGGGAGGCAGCAGUGGGGAAUAUUGCACAAUGGGAGCAAGCCUGAUGCAGCAACGCCGCGUGCGGGAUGACGGCCUUCGGGUUGUAAACCGCUUUCGCCUGUGACGAAGCGUGAGUGACGGUAAUGGGUAAAGAAGCACCGGCUAACUACGUG